rnacentral:rRNA from 1 species
UACAGAGGUCCCAAGCGUUGUUCGGGUUCACUGGGCGUAAAGGGUGCGUAGGUGGUAAGGUAAGUCGGAUGUGAAAUCUCCAGGCUCAACCUGGAAAUGGCAUCGGAAACUACCUUGCUCGAGGUUUGGAGGGGGGACUGGAAUACUUGGUGUAGCAGUGAAAUGCGUAGAUAUCAAGUGGAACACCAGUGGCGAAGGCGAGUCCCUGGACAACACCUGACACUGAGGCACGAAAGCUAGGGGAGCAAACAGG